rnacentral:rRNA from 1 species
AGAGUUUGAUCAUGGCUCAGGAUGAACGCUGGCGGCGUGCUUAACACAUGCAAGUCGAACGAACCUUCGGGUUAGUGGCGGACGGGUGAGUAACGCGUGAGAAUCUGCCCUCAGGAGGGGGAUAACGGCUGGAAACGGCCGCUAAUACCCCAUAUGCCGCGAGGUGAAAUGAAUUUCGCCUGAGGAUGAGCUCGCGUCUGAUUAGCUAGUUGGUGGGGUAAGAGCCUACCAAGGCAUCGAUCAGUAGCUGGUCUGAGAGGAUGAUCAGCCACACUGGGACUGAGACACGGCCCAGACUCCUACGGGAGGCAGCAGUGGGGAAUUUUCCGCAAUGGGCGAAAGCCUGACGGAGCAACGCCGCGUGAGGGAUGAAGGCCUCUGGGCUGUAAACCUCUUUUAUCAAGGAAGAAGAUCUGACGGUACUUGAUGAAUAAGCCACGGCUAAUUCCGUGCCAGCAGCCGCGGUAAUACGGGAGUGGCAAGCGUUAUCCGGAAUUAUUGGGCGUAAAGCGUCCGCAGGCGGUUUUGUAAGUCUGUUGUUAAAGCGUGGAGCUUAACUCCAUUUCAGCAAUGGAAACUGCAAGACUAGAGUGUGGUAGGGGCAGAGGGAAUUCCCGGUGUAGCGGUGAAAUGCGUAGAUAUCGGGAAGAACACCAGUGGCGAAGGCGCUCUGCUGGGCCAUAACUGACGCUCAUGGACGAAAGCCAGGGGAGCGAAAGGGAUUAGAUACCCCUGUAGUCCUGGCCGUAAACGAUGAACACUAGGUGUCGGGGGAAUCGACCCCUCCGGUGUCGUAGCCAACGCGUUAAGUGUUCCGCCUGGGGAGUACGCACGCAAGUGUGAAACUCAAAGGAAUUGACGGGGGCCCGCACAAGCGGUGGAGUAUGUGGUUUAAUUCGAUGCAACGCGAAGAACCUUACCAGGGUUUGACAUCCUGCGAAUCUCUUGGAAACGAGAGAGUGCCUUCGGGAACGCAGAGACAGGUGGUGCAUGGCUGUCGUCAGCUCGUGUCGUUAGAUGUUGGGUUAAGUCCCGCAACGAGCGCAACCCACGUCGUUAGUUGCCAGCAUUUAGUUGGGCACUCUAGCGAGACCGCCGGUGAUAAACCGGAGGAAGGUGUGGAUGACGUCAAGUCAUCAUGCCCCUUACAUCCUGGGCUACACACGUACUACAAUGCUACGGACAAAGGGCAGCAAACUCGCGAGAGCUAGCAAAUCCCAUAAACCGUGGCUCAGUUCAGAUCGUAGGCUGCAACUCGCCUACGUGAAGGAGGAAUCGCUAGUAAUCGCGGGUCAGCAUACUGCGGUGAAUACGUUCCCGGGCCUUGUACACACCGCCCGUCACACCAUGGAAGUUGGCCACGCCCGAAGCCGUUACUCCAACCCUUGUGGAGGAGGAUGUCGAAGGUGGGGCUGAUGACUGGGGUGAAGUCGUAACAAGGUA